GCCAUAACAGAAUUCCGUGCAAGGUUAGGGAAAGAUCCCUAUUCCACUGGAACCCGCGCAUGCAGGACCUCCUCCUCUACCUUAUAGCAAGCUCUGCGCGUGCUGUAACCACCUCUGCCAGGAGCACCUUGGGUGGUUACAAGUCCGUGGCCUCCGCUUGCUUCGUAUAGCACCAUAGUCACCCCUUGCUAUAAGCCACGGGCUGGCACCUUGAAUACCCCACCGUGGACGGAGAGAAAGAGCAGAAAGAGGUAGAGAGAGAGGACGCCAGCGGGUGCCAAUCGAUCGGGCAGCACCUUUGGAGCUCGAGCAAUUGCUCACCGGGGCAUAGCUCUGCCGUGGAGCCGCCAUGAACCCUGGUCGACUCUCCAGAUCCGAUCCCUAACUUUGGUAAGCCCCUUGACACUUUCGCCUCAUUCGUAGGAUUGUGUGGCACCGAUUGGAUUAGAGAUUAGGGAUUGGAGGCGCCGGCACCACCAACCCCGCGAACCCGCCGCCGCAGGGAGGGCCUAUGCGCCGCCAUUCGGCCGCCUGGGUUGUGGGAGCACAUCUGACCGCUAAUCUGGCCACCAACGGCCAGGAUUGGGGCCCCGUACUGGUUUGGCCCAGCUCAUCUCGGUCGUUGAUCGUCGGGUCGGCGGACAGAGUCCGAUGGCGAUGAUUUAAAAUCCAGAACAGAGAUUUUAGAUCCAAUGGCUCGCAGUGCGUACCGGUUCGAUUUAAGUAAGGAACAGAUCCAAGCACUCGGGUCGUGAUCGGACGGUCGACCUUACCUGUACCCCUUCGCGGCGCCAAUUUUACGGAUUAGCCCCUUGGCUUAUUCGGAAACAACCCGCAGUCCACCCUGAAGAAAGUCUGAGUCUGUGGGACUUUUGCGAUAUUAACCUCAGACUUUUUAGUAUUUGUUGCUCUGUCCAGAGCUCGAGAAAUCAAAUAAAUAAAUUCAGAAAUUGAUUUUUAGUACGCAAAUAAUUCCAGAAACUUGUAUAAUUCAUAUUAAAUUCAUUUUAACUCCAAAUUGAUCCAUUCCAGUGGCAUUAAUUUUGUAAUAAAAUUGUCUACCAACUAGUAGCUCUGUUUAGUCAUGAAACUUGAAUUAAAAUUAUUCACUUGAGUUAUUUUAUUCUAGUUACUAAAUGACUUUAGAAAUUCAUAACUAAAUAAUCGUAACUCCGUUUUGGUCUGUUCAAAUUGUGUUAGCUUCAUAAUAAAAUUACUCAGGCAUUAGUGACAUUGUUUUGUCAUGUUCUUAAAAUAAUUAAAUACAUAUACUUAUAGGGUUAAGUGUCCUAGCCUAAGGAAAAGAGGUAUUUUAAUUUGGUUCCUCUGAAAUUGACUAAAGUAUGAUCUUUAAGUGGAUUAUAAAUUAGAGUAAAAGUUGAGUUAGUUAUCUCUUUAAUAUCCUUACUCAUAUAGUUUACAUAAUCAGCAUAGAAUAUAGCUUUACAUACUUUAACCAUGAAGAUCUUCCAUAAAUCAUAACUCCUCAACCGUAACUCCGAAUUUAGCGAUUCUUGUUCCCGCGAUCUCGUAGCAAUGUGUAGACCAUUAUUAUGAAAUUUAUUCUUAUGUUUAGUGGGAUGUUAAUUUUGUCUAUACCAUGUUUGUUUGUAUUGCUACAACUAGCUCGAGGUCACGAGUCACCUAAAGGUCAUCCUGGUACCUGGAAUCUCAAGUCCCAGACAUGUUGUGUCCUUGAUCACUUUUAUUACCCAAUAAUGUUCUUUAUUAUCACUUACUCAUGCAUAAGCUUAAUUUUGAUGGGACCCAAUAGGUCACCCUAGUUUGGUUAUCUUUUUACCUUGUUCACCCCUAAAUUAUUUGGAUAGUUUUGCUAUUGCUCUAUAUGGUUUUGGGAUUAAUAUUACAUUAUGUCCAUGUUCCAAUUAUUCUGUUAUUUUAUUUAUUGUUCAUGUCAAGAUCAUUAUUUUUAAUUGGAACAUGGAGGUUAACUUGAGAAACACGUGCCACCAUAAGGGUAGAAUGGAACACCCUUGGCUAACUAACUAGGAAAGCUAGUGGAGGACUACCUUACCUGAUAGAGGCAAGGGUAGUAGGGGAGUAGGUGUGUAGGGAGGUUCCUAGGUUGAUUUUUCUGCGAUAGCGGUCAGACGGGGGAUUCCUGCAUGCUCUUCCUAGAAACUAUAGCGGGUUUUCUAAAGCUAGUGGAACUUUGUAAAGGCCUCAUAGUGGAUCCCUAGUCAUUCACCUCGGAAGUGACUAAGGGCCUUGCAAACCCUGGCGACAUGGGAUACACGACUUGUGGGUACAGGGUACAACCUCUGCAGAGUGUAAAACUAGUAUACUAGUCGUCCUCGCGGUCAUGAGCAGCUCAGGGCUCUUGCAUGAUUAAAUUAUGGAACUAAAUUCAAUUUGUCAUUUGCAUUGCAUGAGAUUUAUUAUUAAUUUUGUUCUAUUAUUAUUAUGGUUUGGUAUUUAUUUACAUUUAGUAACUGCUAAUAAAAUUUGAACAAUUUAUUAAAAGCAAUGCUCAACUUUAACCCCUAUUAUUGAUCAGCUUUACACUUCACAUGAACUCCCAACUUUGGUGAGUUCAUGCACAUUAUUCCCCACAACUUGUUGAGCGAUGAACAUAUGUGAGCUCACCCUUGUUGUCUCACACCCCCCACAGGUCAAGAACAGGUACCACAUGAUGAGGUGCAUGGAGGAUGCUGCGAUGUGUUCAUGAGAGGUCUAGGUCGUCGUCUCCAGUCAACUUUGGGUUGUUGGAUCAUUGUCUCCUUAUGAUGUAUUUAUUUAUUUAUUUUGUACAGAACUCCUAUUCUAUAGUAAAGUUGUAACAUACGUUUCUGUACCAUGAUUCAUCAUGUGUG
rnacentral:lncRNA from 1 species